rnacentral:rRNA from 1 species
AUUGAACGCUGGCGGCAUGCCUUACACAUGCAAGUCGAACGGCGGCACGGGUGCUUGCACCUGGUGGCGAGUGGCGAACGGGUGAGUAAUACAUCGGAACAUGUCCUGUAGUGGGGGAUAGCCCGGCGAAAGCCGGAUUAAUACCGCAUACGAUCUACGGAUGAAAGCGGGGGACCUUCGGGCCUCGCGCUAUAGGGUUGGCCGAUGGCUGAUUAGCUAGUUGGUGGGGUAAAGGCCUACCAAGGCGACGAUCAGUAGAUGGUCUGAGAGGACGACCAGCCACACUGGGACUGAGACACGGCCCAGACUCCUACGGGAGGCAGCAGUGGGGAAUUUUGGACAAUGGGCGAAAGCCUGAUCCAGCAAUGCCGCGUGUGUGAAGAAGGCCUUCGGGUUGUAAAGCACUUUUGUCCGGAAAGAAAUCCUUGGCUCUAAUACAGUCGGGGGAUGACGGUACCGGAAGAAUAAGCACCGGCUAACUACGUG